rnacentral:tRNA from 1 species
GAGGGUGUAGCUCAGUGGCAGAGUGCGUGCUUAGCAUGUACAAGGUCUUGGGUUCAAUUCCCAAUACUACCA